rnacentral:rRNA from 1 species
AUGCCUGUACCAUAACCGACACAGGUGGGUAGGUAGAGUAUACUAAGGGGCGCGAGAUAACUCUCUCUAAGGAACUCGGCAAAAUGACUCCGUAACUUCGGGAGAAGGAGUGCCUUAUUUAUAAGGUUGCAAUAACAAGAUCCAAGCAACUGUUUAUCAAAAACACAGGUCUCCGCUAAGUCGUAAGACGAUGUAUGGGGGCUGACGCCUGCCCAGUGCCAGAAGGUUAAAGAAGUUGGUUAGUGUAUGCGAAGCUGAUGACUGAAGCCCUGGUGAACGGCGGCCGUAACAAUAACGGUCCUAAGGUAGCGAAAUUCCUUGUCGGGUAAGUUCCGACCCGCACGAAAGGCGUAAUGAUUUGGAUACUGUCUCGGAGAGAGGCUCGGUGAAAUAGACUUGUCUGUGAAGAUGCGGACUACCUGCACCAGGACAGAAAGACCCUAUGAAGCUUUACUGUAACUUGAAAUUGGAAUUGGACUUUGCUUGCGCAGUAUAGGUGGGAAGCGUUGAAGAUAUUCUUGCGGGAGUAUUGGAGCUAUCAGUGAGAUACCACUCUUGUAAUGUUAGAUUUCUAACUUUGAACCAUAAUCUGGUCAAAGAACAGUUUCAGGUGGGCAGUUUGACUGGGGCGGUCGCCUCCCAAAUGGUAACGGAGGCGUACAAAGGUUUCCUCUGAACGGAUAGAAAUCGUAUCUAGAGUGUAAAGGCAUAAGGAAGCUUGACUGUGAGACCUACAAGUCGAGCAGGGACGAAAGUCGGUCUUAGUGAUCUGACGGUACUGAGUGGAAAGGCCGUCACUCAACGGAUAAAAGUUACUCUAGGAUAACAGGCUGAUCUCCCCCAAGAGUUCACAUCGACGGGGAGGUUUGGCACCUCGAUGUCGGCUCAUCGCAUCCUGUGCGGUAGUACGUCCCAAGGGUUGGGCUGUUCGCCCAUGAAAGCGGUACGCGAGCUGGGUUCAGAACGUCGUGAGACAGUUCGGUCCAUAUCCGGUGUAGGCGUUAGAAUAUUGAGAGGAGCCUUCUUUAGUACGAGAGGACCGAGAAGGACACACCGCUGGUGUACCAGUUAUCGUGCCAACGGUAAACGCUGGGUAGCUAUGUGUGGAGUGGAUAACCGCUGAAAGCAUCUAAGUGGGAAGCCCACCUCAAGAUGAGUAUUCUCAUCACUAUAAGUGAGUAAGGUCACGGUAAGACUAACCGUUUGAUAGGCAUUAAGUGUAAAUGUAGUAAUGCAUGUGCUGAGAUGUCCUAACAGACCGAGGACUUG